GUGCCAUGACUUGUCACCAGCCCCGUGCGAACGGGUUAAAAGGGAAGGCCGUGCCCCACACUGGUGUGGGAAGUCGGCCGCUGCGCCCGCAACUGUAGGCGGUAGGUGUGCGUCUGUCUGUUGUAAUACAGGCCACUGACAGUGCAUGUCGGGAAGGCAGGACGCACAGCGAUAAUCCGCAAGCCAGGAGACCUGCUGUUGUCGUCAGACCAUG
rnacentral:ncRNA from 2 species